rnacentral:lncRNA from 1 species
UUUUCAAAAUAGGAGAUAAAAAAUGCAUUAAAUCAUUAAUUAAAAUAACAAAACUCAAUCAACGACAAUAUCCAGAAUUAUAACAAAAAAUCAAACCAAAACAACCAUAAAAAUCCAAAAGUGAUGCAAAUAAAGUGUAUCAUAGAAUAUAAGACUAUGGCUUUAAUCUUUCUCAAUUUUCACUUGCUUUGUAUUGGGUGCAUCAGAAGUUGAAGCCACAAAAGAAAAAUCUCUCUUAUUUGUUUCCACCUUAUAUGUAUCUGCAGUGAGAUCAUCCGCUUCUACAGUGAGAUCUAUAGUGUCUACCUAGGUAUCCCCUCCUUGAUCACUAAACUUUUCCAUCAGAUCCUGCGCAUCUAUUUGUAAUAAGAAAAAAAUAAUAUAUGAUAACAAUAACCUUUACAAAUACAUAAUUGUAAUUGUAAAUAUACACGAUUGAUAACUACAUGAAUUUGCUAUUUAAUAUACCUGAGCAACAAAAUCGGCAUUAGAGUCGUUGUCCUUCCCUUUAGUAUCAACAUCAACGACCUUACCAAUGGAACCCUCCUCACAAACAAAAUUAACAUAUGCGUUGAAUUCAAAUUAUAUGUAUGGUUGAUUUGGGUUGGUAUUAGAGCAGGGGGUAAAAAGGCAUUUACCCAUAAUAAGGUUAUUAUAAUUUGAAUUUAACGCAUAGGUUAAUUCUGUGUAUGAGGAGUGUUCCAUUGGUAAGGUUGUUGAUGUUGAUGCUAAAGGGAAGGACUCUACUGCAGAUUAUGUUGCUAAGGUAUAUUAAAUUGCAAAUUCAUGUAGUUAUCUAUGUAUAUUUACAAUUACAAUUCUGUAUCAGUUUAUUGUUAUCAUAUAUUAAUUUUUUCUUAUUACGAAUAAAUGCGCAGGAUCUAAUGGAAAAAUUUAGUGAUCAAGGAUGGGAUACCUGGGUAGACACUAUAGAUCUCACUGCAGACGCGAAUGAGGUGGAAACAAAUAAGAGAGAUUUUUAUUUUGUGGCUUCAACUUGUGAUGCACCCAAUACGGAGCCAGUGAUGAAACAAGUGAAAAUUGAGAAAGAUUAAAGCCAUAUUGUCUUAUAUUCUAUGAUAAACUUUAGAACCGAUUUAACCUACAUUGCUCUAAUACAAACAUUUCAUGGUUGUUCCUUGAUGCCCAACUCUUGCUUUCCUGUUGCAGAUGUAUCUUAGCAUAGCAAUCAAUGUUACAAUUGAGUAUACACCCUCAGGUUUGAACCUGAAAGUAAAACCAAAGAUGAUGGCAUUUAAGAGUUAGAUUAGAUAUGAUCGGUUUCUCCACGUAUAAACAUAUAAUUAAUUUUUUAAAAAUGAGUCUUUAUUCCAACAUGCAUACUUUUCGGUUGAUGAUGGCAUCACAAACCUUACAAGUGUUCUAUCCAGCCUCUCUAUACUGCACAAUCUUUUCAAAUGAUGAAAUAUUAUUCUGACAAACUCAUCACCAUCACCUCCAUGGUGAAACUUCUAAAGUCUUACCAAUUACAUAAGCAUGUUAACAUAAUAAACUACAACGACAUGAUAAGAUUCAAUCAAGAAAGAUCUUAAUAUUAAGAUAUAGAUAUUACCUUUAACUCUUAAUUUUUUCAUCUCCUUGCAAGAACUAAGUCAUGCCAAUUAUUCCAUAAAAACAUAACAGGAAAUGCCUACAAGAUAAGAAAGAAUCACAAUAGAAAAGCACAAAUCAAUAGAUCAGUGCCAAAGAAUUUGCAUUGUUUACUCCAAGUAAAAAAAUUAAGGUAUAAACAAUUAAUCAAAUGAUACAUUUCUCAGUUAAACAAAACAAUCAGUUUCCUUAUGAUAUACUAAUCAUGAGAUACAGAUCUAUGGAAUAUAGUACCAGUUUAACAUGAGUUAGAGGCAUCUAGAAUUCUCAAAACUCAUAGUCCAUAAGUCAUUAUUAAGCAACACAAAUUAUUGUGUUCAAGUACCACCUGUUACUUCUUCUAACAUAGAGUAGGAGAUUUACAUUCGACUUUAUAUAGUCUAACCUCUCUAAUUUUCUCGUUUUCAAAUACAUUUCAUAUUUAUGAAUAUGUUUCAUAUGUGCAAAUAUUAUACAAUGAUUGGAAGUUUAGACAUACCUGUCAAGAGAAGUCAAAUUCAGCGAUGGUAGUACAUAACAAGUCACCCAAAUUGUUUAACAUUUCCUGGAUAUCAGCAUACAUGGAAGCCAUGUUUGCAAGCAGUGCCUAAACAAAACCAACCAGAAUCAUAUAAAAUCCUCAGCCAACUCACUCAUGUAAAAAGGAAUAGAUAGCCAGUUAGAAUUAAAUUCUAAGUGCUCUUGCACACACAGAAAAUGAUCCUACAAGAGAAAACAACACAAUUGAAGCUGCCUAUUAUUUGGAUUAAAGACAAAUUACAAAAAGAGGAUUAAGGAGCACUUAACAUUAAUUUUAAAUAGCUCAUACUCAUAGACAUAUAUUUAUUAGAUUUUUUAUCAAGUCAUGGGCAGUACAUUACCUUCAAUUGUGUAUGCUGUAAGCUAAAGACAAACAAAACUUAUAUACUCACAAUCAAUGGUGUCUGACAAUACAUUACCUUCAAUUUAAAUUUUCCACAUGCUAACUUAGGGGUUAAAGCAACCAAUCAUAUUAUCUCAAACUUUAACUUCUCACAUGACAAAUAGAAAAAUUCCUUUGAUUAAAGCAACCAAUCCUUAGUGCCAUUGAGUAUGUACAUAUAUCCUGAAAGUCGUGAUAAUAAUCAAUGUCUGUCUAUUGAUAGAACUUGAGAAUAGUAUAUCAUUUCAUUCAAUUGGUCAAUGAAGAGAACUGAAAAUGAAGAGUCCAAACAAGCUUCAACUAACGAUACCUCUCUAUUGGUUCUUCAAGUAUAACCAUGUCCAUAAAAUGUAUAACCUGGAUAGAAAGAAUACAAAAUUAUGAUCACAAUAUUGCUAAAAAGUACAAUCGUCCAUAAGAACUAUCAGUGCUUCUAAACUACCAAAUUAAAAGAGAAAAAGCACAGCCAACAAUUCUAC